GCAAGUCGAACGGUAGGUAGGUGCUUGCAUCUACUGAGAGUGGCAGACGGGUGAGUAACGCGUGGGAACGUACCUUUUGGUCUGGGAUAACAGUUGGAAACGACUGCUAAUACCGGAUAUACCCUGAGGGGAAAGAUUUAUUGCCGAAAGAGCGGCCCGCGUUAGAUUAGGUAGUUGGAGUGGUAAGAGCACCCCAAGCCGAUGAUCUAUAGCUGGUUUGAGAGGAUGAUC
rnacentral:rRNA from 1 species